rnacentral:rRNA from 1 species
GUGGGGAAUAUUGCACAAUGGGGGAAACCCUGAUGCAGCAACGCCGCGUGGGUGAAGAAGUAUUUCGGUAUGUAAAGCCCUAUCAGCAGGGAAGAAGAGAGACGGUACCUGACUAAGAAGCCCCGGCUAACUACGUGCCAGCAGCCGCGGUAAUACGUAGGGGGCAAGCGUUAUCCGGAUUUACUGGGUGUAAAGGGAGCGUAGACGGCUUGAUAAGUCUGAAGUGAAAGGCCAAGGCUUAACCAUGGAACUGCUUUGGAAACUAUGAGGCUAGAGUGCUGGAGAGGUAAGCGGAAUUCCUAGUGUAGCGGUGAAAUGCGUAGAUAUUAGGAGGAACACCAGUGGCGAAGGCGGCUUACUGGACAGAAACUGACGUUGAGGCUCGAAAGCGUGGGGAGCAAACAGGA